AACGAACGCUGGCGGCGCGUCUUAAGCAUGCAAGUCGAACGGCAAGAGAGGAGCUUGCUUCUCUCCUAGAGUGGCGGACUGGUGAGGAACACGUGGGUAAUCUACCCUUAAGAUGGGGAUAGCUGCUAGAAAUAGCAGGUAAUACCGAAUACACUCAGGGCUUCAUAAGAAGUUUUGAGGAAAGGAAGCUACGGCUUCGCUUGAGGAUGAGCUUGCGUCCCAUUAGCUCGUUGGUGAGGUAACGGCCCACCAAGGCGACGAUGGGUAUCCGGCCUGAGAGGGUGAACGGACACAUUGGGACUGAGAUACGGCCCAAACUCCUACGGGAGGCAGCAGCUAAGAAUAUUCCGCAAUGGACGGAAGUCUGACGGAGCGACGCCGCGUGGAUGAAGAAGGCUGAAAAGUUGUAAAGUCCUUUUGUUGAUGAAGAAUAAGGGUGAGAGGGAAUGCUCAUCUGAUGACGUAAUCGACGAAUA
rnacentral:rRNA from 1 species